rnacentral:misc_RNA from 1 species
AAGUCGUAACAAGGUUUCCGUAGGUGAACCUGCGGAAGGAUCAUUAUUGAGAGAGGGGCUUCGCGCUCCCGGGGGGCUCCGGCCCACCACUCUUCACCCACUGUUAACCUACCUUUAUUGCUUUGGCGGGCCUUGAGUUCAUGCUCAUGCCGGCCCCGGGCCGACCCGGGCCCGGCGUGUGCCCGUCAGCAGGUCCUUUAAAUUGCUGCUUAUCUAUUGGUGUCGUUGCCGAGCUUCAUAUUCAAUCAUCAAAC